rnacentral:rRNA from 1 species
UACGAAGGGGGCUAGCGUUGUUCGGAAUUACUGGGCGUAAAGGGCGCGUAGGCGGUGUGUCAAGUCAGGCGUGAAAGCCCCGGGCUCAACCUGGGAACAGCGCUUGAGACUGGCACGCUCGAGUUCGGGAGAGGAUGGUGGAAUUCCCAGUGUAGAGGUGAAAUUCGUAGAUAUUGGGAAGAACACCGAUGGCGAAGGCAGCCAUCUGGACCGACACUGACGCUGAUGAGCGAAAGCCAGGGGAGCAAACGGG